AUGCAAGUCGAGCGGAUGACGGGAGCUUGCUCCUUGAUUCAGCGGCGGACGGGUGAGUAAUGCCUAGGAAUCUGCCUUGUAGUGGGGGACAACGUUUCGAAAGGAACGCUAAUACCGCAUACGUCCUACGAGAGAAAGCAGGGGACCUUCAGGCCUUGCGCUAUCAGAUGAGCCUAGGUCGGAUUAGCUUGUUGGUGAGGUAAUGGCUCACCAAGGCGACGAUCCGUAACUGGUCUGAGAGGAUGAUCAGUCACACUGGAACUGAGACACGGUCCAGACUCCUACGGGAGGCAGCAGUGGGGAAUAUUGGACAAUGGGCGAAAGCCUGAUCCAGCCAUGCCGCGUGUGUGAAGAAGGUCUUCGGAUUGUAAAGCACUUUAAGUUGGGAGGAAGGGCAGUAAGCUAAUACCUUGCUGUUUUGACGUUACCGACAGAAUAAGCACCGGCUAACUCUGUGCCAGCAGCCGCGGUAAUACAGAGGGUGCAAGCGUUAAUCGGAAUUACUGGGCGUAAAGCGCGCGUAGGUGGUUUGUUAAGUUGGAUGUGAAAGCCCCGGGCUCAACCUGGGAACUGCAUCCAAAACUGGCAAGCUAGAGUA
rnacentral:rRNA from 1 species